ensembl:lncRNA
GAACAAACCGAUGAAGUUUGAUCAAACUCAGGUAGUGUAUGUUGAUGUUAUUAGACAUUUCCUGUUUCUCGUUUCUCGCCAUAAUUUCAACGCCUCGCCACGGACAAACCGUUUGAGAUAUCAAAAAUAUCUUCGCAAUUUAGCAUCCCCAAUGUCUUGAGAUCAUGUUCACCGAGUUUUGUGGCAAACGGGUGGAUUCCUCAGAGGAGUAUAUCAAAUUCCAGAGCAUGUGUUUUUCACAAAACCCUAAAUAGCCAACUUCCUGUUGGGCGGAGCUUAUGACAUGCAGUGCGAAAGUUGUUUGGUUUGAUGAGAUCUACAUGUGUACCGAGUUUCAUAUGUAUACGUGCAAGUAUGCAUGAUAUAUGGCCCUCAAUAUUCCAGGGGGCGCUGUAGAGCCCCUGUGCCACGCCCGUGUAUCAGUCUCUGCCCGGCCCUAAUGGCCGCAGAUUCCAAGGUGUGUGCCAAUUUUCAAGAGUUUUUGAGCAUGUUAAGGGCCCCAAAAGCCCCCGAAACCUUGGAAAAAAAUUAGAAGAAUAAAGAAAAAAAAAAAAAAAAAAAAAAUAAUCCUAAGGAAAACAAUAGGGCUCUUCGCCCUCCAGGCUUGAGCCCUAAUUAAUAUUUUUAAUGAUAGGAUUAACUAACAUAAA